rnacentral:sRNA from 1 species
AGGUGGCCUCUUCAUCAUUUCAUCAUUUGGAGGCUCUGUUGCUAGUGCUAAAGCUCCCAAUGUAUCCAUGAUCAUAUUAACCCACAACAGCUGCACAGCAGUGAGAGGAGCGCUCCCUGUGACGGAAGAGCAAAACAUUAGUACUGUCUUGGAGAUCAUGGAGAACCACUUAAUGGAAAUACAUAGCAUCAGAUGAAUACUAUAAUGUUGCCCUCACCUAUGAUGCAUGCUGAGACAAAAUUGAUGACUAAAGCAACAAUAUUGACAGUCAACUGAAACUGCACAAACUUUUGGAUGUUAAUAUAAACUGCACGACCCCAUCUUGCAACAUUUAUUAUAGUUGUGAAAUUAUCGUCAAGUACUAUGACAUC